GACGUAGGGCGCGAGCGUUGUCCGGAUUUAUUGGGCGUAAAGCGUCCGCAGGUGGCUGUGUAAGUCUGCUGUCAAAGAGCGAAGCUCAACUUCGUAAAGGCAGUGGAAACUACACGGCUAGAGUGCGUUCGGGGCAGAGGGAAUUCCUGGUGUAGCGGUGAAAUGCGUAGAGAUCAGGAAGAACACCGGUGGCGAAGGCGCUCUGCUAGGCCGCAACUGACACUGAGGGACGAAAGCUAGGGGAGCGAAUGGG
rnacentral:rRNA from 1 species